UGGAAUUGGUCCGAUUCCAUCCAGGAAUAUUUUACCGGGAAGCAUGCCCUCCUUGGCGAAUCGGGAACAUGGAAGAGUUGGAAGGUUAUCCUGCUUUUUUAAAUCCUGGUUUCCCGAAAGCAAACAUUUGUCUGGCGCUCUAUUUAAGGAUCCAUCCAUUCAUUUAAAAACCCAAGGACCUGGUCAUGGUAUGACCCUGACCUGAAAAGGAACUUUGGGAGGAUUCUGGCAAGGAAUUCAAAGUUGGAAAACUUUUCCUUUGGCGUCUGUGAAGGACUUCUGAUAUGGUUAACUUUUAACCGUUACUCGCCAACGCCAACCCAACAAAAGGAAUAACCCAAAAGAUAGCUAGGGUUUCCUGAAUCUGGUCAACGACAUCGAUUGGAUUUUCGACAACCGGCUUGAUGUUAAACUUUUGCCAGAAGUCAAUUCCCAGGAUGCAUUUCCUAUUAAGGUCGGGU